AUUGAACGCUGGCGGAAUGCUUUACACAUGCAAGUCGAACGGCAGCACGGACUUCGGUCUGGUGGCGAGUGGCGAACGGGUGAGUAAUAUAUCGGAACGUGCCCAGUCGUGGGGGAUAACGUAGUGAAAAUUACGCUAAUACCGCAUACGAUCUAUGGAUGAAAGCGGGGGAUCGCAAGACCUCGCGCGAUUGGAGCGGCCGAUAUCAGAUUAGGUAGUUGGUGAGGUAAAGGCUCACCAAGCCGACGAUCUGUAGCUGGUCUGAGAGGACGACCAGCCACACUGGAACUGAGACACGGUCCAGACUCCUACGGGAGGCAGCAGUGGGGAAUUUUGGACAAUGGGCGCAAGCCUGAUCCAGCAAUGCCGCGUGCAGGAAGAAGGCCUUCGGUUGUAACUGCUUUGUACGGAACGAAAAGUACUGGGUUAAUACCCUGUGUGGAUGACGGUACCAGCACAAGAAGCACCGGCUAACUACGUGCCAG
rnacentral:rRNA from 1 species